UAGUGCGAUACAGUUAAAACAAAGUAUUUUAGUAAGAAUAGAUACCUUGGAUACAGGUAAACUUCUCAACGGAUUCUCUAUCAUCUCUUUUUUUUUUUCGUUUCGUUUAAUUGGUCCAUGUUAUAGUGUUAUAGGAUAACAAGAUGGUUAGAAAUCCUUUAUUUUUUCAACCUAAUCGCUCUUUUGACUUCGGAAUAAACUUUCUUUAUCAAUAUACUGUUUCUUCUACGCAUACAUCUCCAUAAUAGAAAAUGGUAAUAGUUAGGAUUCAUUAAAAAAUUGAGAAUCCACUCACGAGACAAGAAAACCUUCCCACAUCAGGCACUAAUAAAUUUUUAACGCCUAAUUAGACCGGGAAUCAUUCAAAUUAAGAACAAAAGCUCGUUGCUUUUUCUUUCCCUAUAAUUUAAUUGAAGCCGCAGCCCUAUCCAUUUAUUCAUUCUACCCAACUUUAUUUUGUUCCGUUCCAAGAAUUCCAACACGGUUUUAUACCCAUUUAGUCCAUUUAUUCAUUCGACUCAACUUUAUUUUGUUCCGUUCAAAGAAUUCUAACAUGGUUUUAUACCCAUUUAGGAACAAUGAAAUAUUCUCAGAACUUUCCGUUGAUACGACAUGCUAUUUUUACCAUUCAUUCCCUUUCAGGAUCAGUCGUGGNNN
rnacentral:lncRNA from 1 species